CCGGAGAAUGUUAUCACGGGAGACACACGGCGGGUGCUAACGUCCGUCGUGAAGAGGGAAACAACCCAGACCGCCAGCUAAGGUCCCAAAGUCAUGGUUAAGUGGGAAACGAUGUGGGAAGGCCCAGACAGCCAGGAUGUUGGCUUAGAAGCAGCCAUCAUUUAAAGAAAGCGUAAUAGCUCACUGGUCGAGUCGGCCUGCGCGGAAGAUGUAACGGGGCUAAACCAUGCACCGAAGCUGCGGCAGCGACACUCAGGUGUUGUUGGGUAGGGGAGCGUUCUGUAAGCCUGUGAAGGUGGCCUGUGAGGGUUGCUGGAGGUAUCAGAAGUGCGAAUGCUGACAUAAGUAACGAUAAAGCGGGUGAAAAGCCCGCUCGCCGGAAGACCAAGGGUUCCUGUCCAACGUUAAUCGGGGCAGGGUGAGUCGACCCCUAAGGCGAGGCCGAAAGGCGUAGUCGAUGGGAAACGGGUUAAUAUUCCCGUACUUGGUGUUACUGCGAAGGGGGGACGGAGAAGGCUAUGUUGGCCGGGCGACGGUUGU
rnacentral:rRNA from 1 species